UAAUAUUAAAUAAAUACAAAAAUAAAAAUUAUAUAAAAUUAAAUAAAACAUUAAGAAAUACGGAAAAUAUUUUUUGAUAUUUUUAUGGACAAAGAAAAUAUUUUAAAAUAAUUAAAAUCUAAACAGAAAAAUAAAUUGAAAUUAAAAUAAGGAAAUAAAAGAGGAAGGUGCAUUUGUGUUGAUGGGCCUGGAAAUGGAGGUGUGAAGUGUAACUAGCGCAGGCCCAUGAUCCAAUCAACAAUUAAAACCAGCAUGACAACAUGUAAUGUACAUUUUAUUA
rnacentral:lncRNA from 1 species